rnacentral:rRNA from 1 species
UACCAUGCAAGUCGAGCGGAUGAGAAGAGCUUGCUCUUCGAUUCAGCGGCGGACGGGUGAGUAAUACCUACGAAUCUGCCUGGUAGUGGGGGGACAACGUUUCGAAAGGAACGCUAGUACCGCGUACGUCUCUACGGUGAGAAAGCAGGGGACCUUCGGACCUUGCGCUAUCAGAUGAGCCUAGCGUCGUCAUUAGCUAGUUGGUGAGGUAAUGGCUCACCAAGGCUACGAUCCGUAACUGGUCUGAGAGGAUGAUCAGUCACACUGGAACUGAGACACGGUCCAGACUCCUACGGGAGGCAGCAGUGGAGAAUAUUGGACAAUGGGAGAAAGCCUGAUCCAGCCAUGCCGCGUGUGUGAAUAAGGUCUUCGUAUUGUAAAGCACUUUAAUGUGCGAGGAAGGGCAGCAAGAGAAUACCUUGCUGUUUUGACGUGACCGACAGAAUAACCACCGGCUAACUCUGUGCCAGCACCCGCGGAAAUACAGAGGGAGCGAGCGCUAAUCGGAAUUACUGGACGUAAAGCGCGCGUAGGUGUUUCGUUAAGUUGGAUGAGAAAUCCCCGGGCUCAACCUGGGAACUGCAUCCAAAACUGGCGAGCUACAGUAGGGCAGAACUCGACGGAAUUUCCUGUGUAUCGGUGAAAUGCGUACAUAUAGGAAGGA